UUUUUUCUUUUUCUUUCUUUUUUUUUUUUGUCUUUUUGCCUUUUCUAGGGCCACUCCCUCGGCAUAUGGAGGUUCCCAGGCUAGGGGUCCAAUUGGAGGUGUAGCCACCAGUCUACACCACAGCCACAGCCACAGCAACGCAGGAUCUGAGCUGCAUCUGCGACCUACACCACAGCUCACGGCAACGCCGGAUCCUUGACCACUGAGCAAGGCCAGGGAUCGAACCCGCAACCCCAUGGUUCCUAGUCGGAUUUGUUAACCACUGCGUCAUGACGGGAACUCUCUGGUUUUCUCACUUUGCUGAUCUGUCCAUUCAUUCAUUUGACAAGUAUUUAUCGAGGGCCUACUGUGGGCCGGGCACUGACCUAGGGGCUGGGCAGACGGAGUUGGAAAUUCUUGUCCUCUGGGAGCUGCUCAGACACUGGGCACGGCAGACGAUAAGAAAAAUCAGCGAAAUACACUGCUAGACAGCGCUGUGAGCCUGUGACAGCCUAAGGACGAGGAUGGGACACAGCAGGAGGUGGCCCUUUUAGCAGAGAAGGACAGGAUGCCAGUGAAGAGGGUGACUCUGCCCACAGAUCCGGGUGAGAGAGGGAGGGCCCUCUGGGGGCAGCCUGAAGCAGGCCAAGACCUGGGGGGGCUGCCUGGCGUGUGGAAACGGCACACACACACACACACCCGCCCCCGCCCAGCCCAGAGGGCUAGGAGGCUUGUCCGGGUUUGCAGCCAGAAAGUGCCAGGGUCUGACCCGGCUACUGAGCUUGUCAAGGCCCCUCUCUGGCGGUGUGCACCCACUGGCGAGGGGCCCAUUCUGUUCCCCCACCCCCAUCCCUGGCUGAGCAGGACUUCUCCCUGAGGGAAGGGAGGGAGCAAUGGCAGGGGAGGUGGUGGCAGAAUGGCACUAGGGUAGCUGGGUGGCCAGGGACCACAGGGACCACCUUCCACCCCUAAGGUGCCCAUCCCGUGCGCCCGCAGACCCAGGAUGUCCACAAGGCUGCAGGGUGCAAAGUUGGCCUGGGCCUCAGUCUCCUGGUCUCUAUGAUGGGUUCACGACUGGGCCCAGUCAGCGCAUCCGUGAGAGCAUGCGGAGAAGGGCUCCUCGCCAGCAGACGCUCAGGAGUUGGCCUUAUUAGGGGGGAGAACGGGAGCUCCCUGCCCCUUAAAGAAGCAUCGGGAAGGCUGGGCAGCCUUCCCAGGGCUCAGUGCCCUGAAAUGGGCUUCCCAGCUUCAACCCUGCCACACAUACCCGCCCUCAGACGCGGGUCAGGCUCCCCUGACUGCCCCGUGGGGACAGGUGGCCGCAUGGAGGGCACCGAAUCUGAGGGCUGGGAGGGGGCCGGUGGAAGGUGAAUGUCAUGGAGUCUACGGAGGGAGUCUGGGGCUCGGCCCUUCCUGUGCGCCCAAAGCCCGCCUGGAGGAGGGGACCUCGCCAGGCCAGUGUGGGUGGGCCCUGCCCCCUGCCAGGCUCCCCUCCAAGCUCUCUGCCCCUCUGAACCUACCGGGGCACAGAUGACCGGGCUGAUAAACCCCUUUCCCGGGGCCAGGGCUGUCUGCAAAAGGCCUGAGAUAAGGCUGAGUGGCGCAGCCCAGCCUGCGGUUUCUCUGCACCGGGAGGCGGCCGUGUGGACAAAGGGGCCUGGCGGUGGCGGCGGGUUGGGGGAGCGGGCGUCCCCUGCAGCUCCCAGAGAGGGAGAGAGGGAGGCCCCCCCUGCAACCCUGCAGCUGUUUAUCAAUCCAGAGCUCACCUCGUGCCAAGCCCGGUGCCAGCCACCCCUGGGGCACAAGGCCGCUGAACCCCAGCCUCCUGCCUGCCAGGACCUCCAGGUGGCAAAGAACAAAGCUGGCAGUUUCUACCCAGGGCACACGGAGUGAGGCAACAACUGGCAUUUUCCACACGCUGUCCCGGCUCAAAGUGCGUUUCAUCCUUAUCUCAUGCAAUCUGCCUAUAACCUGGCGACGCAGGCUACUGCCUCUACUUUUCGGAGGAGGAAAUGAAAGCACAGAGAGGUUAGGUAACAUGCUUAAGCUCAGUGAGUUAAGACAUUAAAUCUCUUAGGAGGCAAGGUAGCGGGGUGGGGACGCCUGGUACCCACAAAGUCGUGACCUUAGAUGCUCAAGGAGAAUGGGAUUCAUGGGGGGCUUGGAUACACACGUAUCAUUCUGACCUCGAAGGACAGACACGGCUUCUUACAACCCCCCAAGCCGCCCACUGUGUGCAGCCCACGAUGGGAGCCCUCUCACCCAUAGUCACUCCUACACAUCGCCCUCACCAACACCCCAGACUUUGGAUCAAAGGGGGCCCGAACUCCAGAAACAAACAUCAAAACGUGGGAGGCGGAGAAGACGGGAGGGAGCCCCUAGGCCGCUGCACACGGUACAGCUCCACCCAAAGACCUGAGAUUGUGCAGUGCCCAACCUGUGCCACGCAGCAGCCGUUCAGAACCCCAGGGGGACCUGCAGCCCUGGUGACGGUGGCCAUGUUGCCUUGGACACCUCUCUCUCCAGAACAGAGCGGGGCAGCUGUCCCCCCAAAAGACCCCCUCCUCGCUAUCCUGCAUACACUGUGCACCCCCAACCCCUCGCCCAGCCCCAGCCCUCCACUCAGCAGGACCCCCACCCAUGCCCUCCACGGCGGCACCUGUGGCUUGGCAGGGCCUGGCGGUGGCGGUGGCGGUGGCGGUGGCGGGUGGGGGGAGGAAGGCAGGCACAGACAUCCGCCGCCCCUCCCCCGCUCCCGGGCUCACCUCCAGCUCCCGUGGUGACAGCCCGCCUCCCACAGCUCUGAGAGAACAGAGCCAGGCUGUGUUCACGUGUCCCCCCGCAGGGACCACACGGCGGGCAGGAGGGCAGGCGGGCGGGGGAGCAGAGCCACCACCCCACGCUGCCAGGCCACAGGCUCUGUCUGUGCCCAAACCUGCCAUUAGGGAGAGGCGAGGCGGCCAGACCAGCCCACCCAGCCCUUGAACCCCCCCAGACCAGCCCCUGGGGACCAAGGCGGUCCCCAAGGAUGGGGCCGGAGUGAUGUUUCAACGGCUCAGCGUUCCCACGCUAUGGGGCGGACAUCCUUGGCUCUUCCUAUUUCCCAGAUGGGAAAACUGAGGCUCAGAGAGGGCGCACAGAUCUGCCUGCAGGGUCUGGUCCUGAGACUGUGGACAGCAUCUCCCCAAGCUCUGCUUCCUGGGGGUCUAGGGGGAGGAGCUGGGGAGGGGCUGGAGCAGUGCCUGGGGUCCCCGAGGGCUCAGGAGGGCAGUUGCUUUGGCCCAAGGAGGCAGGAGGGAGGCCCUCCCAGGGUUGGUUCCUGGUGGGAAUUCCUGCUUUGGAACCGCUGGGCUGGUCCCAGGCCCCACCUCUCUGAGGCUCAGUUUCCUUGUUGAUAAAACGGGCUAAUGACUUGAGAACUGGCAUGCAGUAGGUGUUGCAUAAAUGCUCCUUCCCUUCUGUAUGCUACUGGGUGAGGAGACAGGGCCAGGGGCGGGAUGCUGGCAGGAAGCUGCCCCCAGCCGGGAGGGUACCGGCCUGUGAUUUCUGAGCACUUGCUCUGUUCUGGGCCAGGGCGCUGUGCCUCACCUUGGCAGGCUGCCUCCCACCCUGGGGCUGGUGGGGGUCACGUGGGAUCUCCCCUGGCCGAGUCAGCAUCCUGAGUUUCCUGCCUUGCUCCCCACCUGGGAGAGCUGGGCUGUGGGGGGUGACACUGGGGUUCAAAUGCUCCCAGAAAAGGUGACCAGAAUGACAAUGGGGACAGUGCCAGGCAAGGGGCUGAUGGCUCACACUGCUGACCUGCGGUGUCCUGAGGGCCUCAGGUCCUGACCCACUCCGUCCUCAGAGCCCUGGCUGGCGGGAUUCAUGUUGGGAAGCGGCCCAGAGAGGUGAGGCGGCUUAUCCCGGGCACACAGCAAUGAGAGUGGCCAGGGGAUCUGAAGCCAGGCCCAAGAGGUCCAGAGCCCCACUUUUCACACCACUUCUGGGGGGCGAGGGGUGCCUAGAACGGUCUCUCGGCCCCCAUAAGGGAGGGCACGGACCAGUGUCACCGAGGUGAAGGAGCAGAGAGAUUGCUCCUGUCCACCUGUCUGUCCUUACCCCACGGAGGCAGCAGCAGCAGUGAGCAGUCCAAAAAGCCAGGCUCAGGGGCCUUCUCCUCCCUGCCCUGCCCCAAACCAGCAGGUGGGACAUGUGUCAUGUCCACGCCCCUCAUGGCACCCAGGGGCGGCGAGCCCGGCCAGCUGCCAAAGCCAUUGCACGCGGCACACUAAUUCCUUCAGCCCGAAGCCACAGGGGCCACCUCGCCCGCUGGUCCUGCUGGGUGCACACACCGACAGACGCACAGAACCACACACUCAGAACCACACACACACACACACAGCCCCUGGGGAGGUGGAGAAAAGAGCCCUGACUGGAAGCCCACCUGACCUGCCUGUCCUGCCAGCGCCAAGGGGAGGGAGGGAGGCCUGGCAGGCGGCCGGGGUCCGAGACUCAAGGAGCAGUUACAGAGAGAGUGCGCCCACCGUGGCGAUGGGUAACCACGGGGACAAAAGCACACUCAUACCCUCCCCGGCUGCCCGCUGCCAGGGGCUGGGGUCUCCAGAGCCACCUGGGAAGAGAAGAGACCCGGUGUUCAUUCAGUCUCCAUUCAGGGAGGCAUCCACCCAGCCAGCCAGCCUUCGCGCUCCACCCGUCAUCCUAGGAAUGUCACCGGGCACCUGCAGCAGGCCGAGCCUCCUCCAGGCAGCCAUCAGACCGUCGGAAGCCCUGGCUGACAUGAGCUUGGUGCCGAAAGGAUACAGAGAAGACAGGAUGCUUCCUAGCAGCAAGGACCGCCUCGCCGAACCCUCACAGUGCCACCAGCACUGCCACGUUACAGGUGAGGAAGCUGACUUGACAAGAAAGGGAACCAGAGACAGAAACACCCGAACAGCCAACGACGCAUGAUGGUAUAAGCCAGGCCCCCGAAUGUCCUGGGAGGGUCCUGGUUUUCAGCCCAUGUCCCCACGUAACAGGUAAUGGUGCCAUCUGCACUCUCACACGUGCCCUGGUUUGGACCCCAGUGAAGCCAGCUGAGCUCCCUUCCCAUUCUAGAGCUGAGGAAAGGAUGCAAUAUUGAGGGGGAGAGGGAAAGAGAGAGAGAGAGAGAGGGACGGAGCAGUCCCUGCGGGCUUCCUGGAAGAGGCGGGGCUGAGCUGCUCCUGGAGUCGGAGAUACUGCUGCCUGAGACCCCAUGUCUGUGACCCAGGCCAGGGCUCAGCUUUGUUCCUUUGUUUAAGGACGCUAUGGUCUGGGGGAUCCCUAACCCUAACCCUAACACUGGGUACCAGCCAGGGUCAGGGAUGGGGCCUGGGACUGCCUGGGGCAGGUGUGCCCACCUGGCUGCCAAGGGUGCAAGGAAGGGGCGGAGGUCCAUGCUGUGCUUCAGUGAUAGGCACAAAGCCCCCAAUGGCCCCUGGCUGCCCUCCCAGCACCCACGAGGCAGGCUGCGCCCGGGCCCGCUCCUGGCACCCAGUGCCCCGCCCCCUGGGAGGACAAGGUGCCCCGCCUUCCGCUGCCACAGGUGCCUCGUGGCCUGGCACCUGCCUGUCCUGGCAGGGCUGGGGCUGCCCCCGGCCUGAUGGAGCCACGGCCCACUGUCUUCCAGCCAAAGCCCCGCUGUGAUGCUGGGGAACCUUCUCAAAGCUGAGAGAACGUCUUUGUAAAUAGGGUUGGAUUUCCCAUAAUUGGGGCUACAGUUUAUGCUGCCUUGUGGGUCAGGAUGCAAGCUCUGUGCCACACUGUUGUCUCGGUUCUGCCCACCUGACCAGCCUGGGGACAUCCACAAGUCACCUGACCUCCGUGUCUCGGUCUUCUCAUCUGGAACGCGCGGGAGGAACGGUGCCUACACACAGGGUAUGGGGAGGGUCAGUGAAGUGGUGCCUGCCAAGUGUGGCAAAGAGCCUGGUAUGCAGGAGGUGCUCACUAAAUGCCAGCUACUACAGUCCUUGCAGAUGGGACUCCCAGAAGAGAAGGGACCUGGUGUCUGAGACUCAGAAGGAUGCUUGUCCCCUUUCCUCUGCCCUCCACGACCUCACCAACAUGUUGGUGGUUCCUGCUCGCAUACCCCUGAGGACGGGGAGCUCACUACCUCACAGCCAGUGGGCCUGCAGAUGGGCGUGGAGUGUGCGCCCCUUGUCAGUGUGUUCCUUCGCAAUCAGAUUAAGUCCAAGCCAGGGAGUGGAGGGUCAGGACGCGAGUCCAUGCCUCCCACCUCCCAGCCUGGGGUCCUGGAUGUCACCUGAGUGGCCAAGAAGCUGGCUGUGAUGGGAGGAGGGGUGGAGAAGCCGUCGCACCUCAGCUGGUGUGAAACGAGCUCUGAGGCUUCAGUGUCCCUGUGCCGUGCGGAUCUGUGUCCCUCCCCGGCCCUCCGGGAGGCUGCCCCUUGGCCUCCUCCACCUGCUCCUGAGCCCCCAGAUCUGCCUGGCUCCUCUCUCGGCUCUCCUACCCUUUCCCUCCCACUUCCGAAGCAGGAGGGGACCUGGGAGAUGGGUCACCUGGGUUCUGGACCCUGCUUUGUCCCGGGGGCUGGGCAGCCCCAGGCAGGGGUGCUCCCUUCUCUGGGCCUCGGCAUCGCCUCUACAGGAAGGGAGGGGACGAGUCAUGACCUCUCUGAGCCAUCAGGCUCCGUGCUUUGCCUCUAGUGGCCAGGAGGGCAGCAGGCUCACCUGUGCACACCCUUGGGUGCCCAGCACGGGCCCAGUGGGCACUGUGGAAAGAGGAGCUGCCCUGAUGGGGGCAGUGGGGACUUGCCAGGGGAUCCUGGGGCUGCAGCAUUUGCUGCCAUGCCUCAGUGCUCUGUGAUGCCCCCUUACAAUCCUGGCCCCUGGGCUCAGACUAGGGCCAUUAUGCCAACCCCUGGGGACAGGGCUUAUGUUCCACACACGCACCUAAGUCCCCUGCAGCCAGGGCAGCCCUCACCGAGUCCCAGCUCCCCCCCCCCGCCCUCACCCACUGCCCUGGGAGGGGCCACCUCGGGACUCACCCAGCGGCAGGAGCAUUUGCCACUUGGGGCUCUUCUGGUCCAUGAGAAUGGGCUGUCUCAGCCCCUGGCCCCCUGGCCCGGCCACCUUGGAGCAGCUCCCUUGGGCCUGGGAGAGCUGAGGGGGCAGGGCAGCACGUCGGGGAGUGGGGGGAACAAAGGAAGCCCCCUCCCAGGUCUGCAGAUCCGCCUGGGAGGCAGACUCCUGAGAAGCCAGCUGAGAGAGUGCCAAGAGAGCCAGGCUGCCCAGCCAGCCGCAGCACAACCACGCGGCCGGGCCCUCCCCCCGCCCUGGCACACACCCUGCCAGCUGCAGAC
rnacentral:lncRNA from 9 species